CACCUACAGAACUGCUUCACUGCUUGUGAAGAGACUCCCGUGCAGGUCGAUCUAUUCCCACGCUUAUUUCUAUCUUUUCCUAGUGAUGUCGGGCUCUUGAGAAAACAACACACAUUUUAAGAACAUUACUAACUUUAAGGAGAGUAUAAGUGCCAGGAAAAUGUUCCUUUUGUGGGAAUUAGAGGAAGAAACCACUUGAAUCACAUCACAAAUGUUCAGCCCAAUCAAAGCAACCUUCAAGAGCUGACAAAUAACCACAGCUUUGAAAGUCA